GCGCUCUCUCUACCCCUCCUUCUAGCCUAGCGCUCCUCCUUCUCCUUGCUCAGACUGUCUCCAUAAAACACGACGCGUGAAUUGACGUCGAAAAGAGACGAAAAGACAAUAAUAGUCCGAUCGAGGUUGCCGACGGCUUAAUGUUCCCUUUUCUGGUGCAGAGAUCGACCGGAUGACCAGCACGGUAGGGUGCUGCGGAUCGAUCCUAGCCCGCUGAUGAAACGGGCGUGCUUGGUGCCGCUAGUACGGUAGGGUACUGAACCAUUCCGCUCGUUUUUGUCGAUUGUCUGAUUGACUUUUGAUGACUGUCUUUAUUUCGGAUUGACUUUGAAGACUUUGGCAUGCACGUGUAUGUGUGCGACUGCCAGACACAAAUAAGUCUUGCGACAUUGGACUUUGGACUUACACACACACUCGUCUAAUAGAUUGUUUAGUGGGGGAUUAGACGGUGUGUGACCUAGUGGGGAUUGAACACGGCAUCGAGUCUCUUGGCCGAGGAAGGUUCCCUAAAACACUUUUACAGACGUUGAACCAGAGGCCAAGACUGUACCUGCUGUAGGUGAGCGGGGUCGAGUUGUGUGAGAGACUAUAUCACUAUGGACUCUAGUUACACAAAUGAGGAGAGUACUACGUGGCCUAAAAACGAGUUAAGUUAACGUCUAGACAACAGUUGUGAGUCGAACUGGAAGACUUGACAACAUGGGUCGUAAAGUCGUUCGUUGGACGAGUCGGUGUGUCGGACUGAACGACGAUAACGACGACGAUACAUGAGCCGGAGCGUACUUCUAAAACGUUGGUGGAAGACGAAGACCCUCCUGGUUCAUUAUCGUGGGCUAGGCUCCUUCUUGUGUCAUGGGCACCAUGAAAAGGACAGUAGUUCUAGAGGACGCACCAGUGACAGUGACUUUGGUCGCUCUUGUCAAAGGGGAAGACGAGACAUCUAUGUGGGUUCUAAGUCCCACGGGAACUACAUGGAGUCUUGAACAAACUAACGUUAGGUUACGAGGAAAGGACCACGAAGGUACUUUGCCGAAUCUUCGGGGUGACGUAUACGUUAUAGGCCAGCACACAAAUGGUUCAUGGCGUCCGAGGGUUACUCCGAAGCUAUAAGUCUACGUAGGUGACGAGGAGGGACCAAGAAGGAGUUAAAGUCUGCUAAAAGGUCACCACAUACUGACCGUAACGUGACUAGGUAUGGUCGUAGAAGAUCCUAGAAGAAUCGUAUCGACCUGACCGUUUGUGACUAAGGUAGGAACAGGACGAAGUGAAGAUUUGGGUCUAUCAUUCAGUCCUCUGGUUCUAGCGAGUAGACUUUGUACAGGACGUAGACGACGAACUUGACGAACUAUCGUAGAAAUCUGCUGGGUCUCUACUAGUCUAGCAGUUGCAUGUGGGGUUGAUCGUCUACUAGACAAGGAGACGGUGCGAACAUAUCCCGUACUAGGUUGACUGUGAAGAGUUUUGGUUCCCUUUGGUCGCAUCACAGGUCGAACCAUAAGGUACGAGCCCCACGGACUACCUCGGGUAUGUCUCGGAAGACGUCGAAGUCUUGGAACAACCCUAACGUCGACAGCUACUUUGGACGUCCGACUACGUGUAUAUGAAGAAGGACGUCAAGAGGUAAGUCUUUCCGUCUAGCGUGUAGGUACACUACGUGACUGGUAGCGGCAACGCGACGAUGACGUUCGUUGUCAGAGUGACAAAGGUCUGCUCGAUGCCCUCGCUUGUGAAGCAGUUUCAGGUGGGGGACGGAGACACGUAUAGGGAAACGGUGGUCUGCUCGAAACACAAAGUGUUACAAAGGUAGACCCAGCGCGAAGUGGAACUUGUGGGUGAAAUCAGGUUACCGCGCUACAGGCCGCCCGUCCCUCCGUUCUCUGGUCCACGGCAACCUCGCCUAGCUCAGGUAGAGGCGGAGGUAACGCGACGCGGUCCGUCCGAGUAGGUCACGUAGAAGUUGUCUGCGUCCAAGGAGACGACGCCUCUCUGUCUCGGGUGACAUGAGGUCUCACGUACGGCCUCGCACCAGCUACUACAUGAGGUACCUAAAGGUCGCCUGACCGUGGGGGAGCCGCAGCUUUAGGAGCGGCCACCCGCCGCAGUGGGUGGGCAGUAGUCUCAACAUUCCUCAUUGACCACACCUGCCCGAACUCAGGCGGGUACGGACGCACCAGCUGCGCGAGCCGCACAGGCGCCGCCUUGGCGAUCUGCACCCGCAGGCGCCGCACGAACCUCGUUCGCCACUCGGACCGCGUCAACCACAACAGUUACGCGAUCCACCGUAGUGGCCCCGACCACUGUACCUCAUCCAGCACCAACACCCGUGAGGGCACAGCCUCAUCUGCUGGCGCUUGACCAACCGCGCGAGGCUCAGCGAUGGUAGGAACGAGGUCAGGGUCGCGGCUAGGAGGAGCUUUGCGUGUAGCGCACACUACAUGUUCGCGAACGGUUAGCCCAGCAUGUGGGCUAUCGGGAAACACGGGCGGAGUAUAGGGUCUUUAUACGGGCCGGCACAGGACAGACGGUCGAACCAGUGCGGUCCCGGCUGCUCGAACUGCACGCGCUGCGUCGGUUUUCACGCCUUCAUUAGCUGGCAGCCGAAGAAGAACGCGGUGCGGAGUAUCCCACAGUACGGGACGUCUGAGGAGCAGCCACUCGCCAACUCCUACACGUGGCGGCACGCGUGACGGAGCGGGGUUUUGCACGAGCUGUGCGGGUACGAAAAGUAGUCCGACGCUCGGUAGAGCUGGUGCCUGACCAACGCCGCAAGCUGCUGAGGCAAAACAACUCCUCUCAUGCCUCAGCAGCACAAGGGAUCCUACGGCACGAGAAGCGUCAUGCGCCACUUGAGCGAGCUCAACUUGAGGGGCGGCGCCAGCCACACCUUGCGAGACUCGAAACGUGGCGUGACACAGAGACGUCGGCGGAACUAGAAAUACUUCUUAAACUUGCGGAGUAGGAACGAGGACUCGUGAAGGUUGGUGUACAUAGAUGACACUAGUAGUUGCUACUCGUCUUUCAUGAACAAUGGCCUGCACCAGCGGCCACACUACCCGGGCGUCUCCAGCGGCACCUGCUCUAGUUCGGGGACGAGGCGCGCCAUGCCACUGCGCGCACCCUUACCCCAUGCCACGUAGAAGGGCUCACACGUCGGGAGCGUCUUGACAAGCUGUACGACUUAGCGGCCGUACGGUGCGUGGUAGGGGAAACGCGGUUCUAGCACGUCACGGGCCUUCACCUCCACCGGCUUUGCAGGUACGGUUGCGGUGCGAAGCAGCGGCGGCACGCGGUCCUCCGUGUGCCCGCGUCGGUUCAAGUCUCGGUGCCGCAUCUCGGCCAACGAGCAGGCGACGUGGGCACGGUCUUCGUGCGCGACGGACAGCAUCUCUGUCUCGUGCGGCGGGAGCUAGUGCCUGAACGUGGGCACGAGCAGCUCGACAGGCUCCGAGUGCUACGAGCAGGCGUCAACCCCCUACAUCAUCUGCAGGCUCUCACGCGCCACGAGCGGCAAGAAUGUCCUCUUGUAGUGGUGAGGCGCAGGCGUUUAGACGUGCUGUCUCGGCAGUGGUUUUGCUUGUCAUGGAGCAUGGCAGAGCAGCUCGAGGCUCUCGUACAGCGCCGCGGGGCAGUACACUAACGAUCGCGGCCACAGCUCUAUGGUAGACAGCAGCAGGCAGCGGUGCCCGUGCUGGGCACGAAGCAACUCCUUCUAGAGGCGCGGGCCAAGUGCACGCGGCGACAAGCGCGAGAGCGGCGAGUGACGGCGCGUACACCGGUCGUCGUUCGGGCCGACGAGCUGCAGCUGGACCCGCUGCAAGCGGACAACCAGGCAGACGAGGGCGACGAGGGAAAGGAAGAACGCCGUAAGGAACCGGGUCACUGGACCCUAUGGCGUCAUCGCCGUCAACGGGAAGGCAAACCCGCAGCGGCCUGGUGGUAACGGCGCCGGUGGCGGGACCGGUGCCGGUGGGGGAGGCACCUUCAAGAAACGGAACGGCAAGGGCGCAGGGGCGGGACGAGGUCUCGGACUCCUGCGCGGCGAAACCAGGUCGACGAAGAGCACGCGGGCGGUGACUAGCUACCACAUGUCGUCGACGCACGGCCAGCGGCCUCAGAGGAGCGCGAGAGCGAGGAGCUGCUGUUCCUCGGCCGGUGUCUCAAGGAGGUCCCUCUCAACAAACCACAGCUGGUCGCUGAGCUAGCGGUGCCGGUAGAGCGCCAUGCCCGCACCGUGCCACGCCUCGUGGAACUCCUGCCGGAACACGAGCAGGUGACCUAGCGGCUCGGGGACGUCGAGCAGCUACUAGCAGGACUCGGCGUAGUGCAUGCUGAGCUAAGGGAGCGGCAGGAACAUGGCCUCGCGGAGCAUGAGACUCGCUGCUCAAACUCGGAACCGGAGCGCGUGCGCGAGCUGCGGCUAGGCGUACCAGAAGUCUCACAGGGUACGGAGGAACCGUCACCGGAAACGCGGGUCCUAGGCGUACUCGAGGCCGCCAUGGGGGAACUCCUCUCGUUAGUACCGCGCGGCCAGCAGCGCCAGGCAGGGAACCGGACAAAGGUGGUGUACGGUGUCGAGUAGUCGGACGUUGACUUCAAAUCACUAGUACCGGGUUAGUCUCAUCAAUCACGCCCACUCGUAGUAGCCUCCGCGCGGCGGCGGCGGCACGUGCUACGCGAGGUGCUGUGCGUGGGGGCUGGGGAGGAGCCACCUCUCUGCCCGGUCCCUAAAAGGUUCACGGCUCCGGAGGCGGAACCGGAGAAGAAGGAGAAGGAAGAAGAAGCGGAAGAGAAAUAGCGACGGCCGGUAAAGAGGCUACCUAGUUUGUGGCGGCCGCGGGACCUACCUAGCUUGUGGUGGCUCCGAGACUACGGUGAACAACAACGUCUUUGACCGGACGGCUCGCGCUCUCUCUACUCCUCCUUCUAGCCUAGCGCUCCUCCUUCUCCUUGCUCAGACUGUCUCCAUAAAACACGACGCGUGAAUUGACGUCGAAAAGAGACGAAAAGACAAUAAUAGUCCGAUCGAGGUUGCCGACGGCUUAAUGUUCCCUUUUCUGGUGCAGAGAUCGACCGGAUGACCAGCACGGUAGGGUGCUGCGGAUCGAUCCUAGCCCGCUGAUGAAACGGGCGUGCUUGGUGCCGCUAGUACGGUAGGGUACUGGACCAUUCCGCUCGUUUUUGUCGAUUGUCUGAUUGACUUUUGAUGACUGUCUUUAUUUCGGAUUGACUUUGAAGACUUUGGCGUGCACGUGUAUGUGUACGACUGCCAGACACAAAUAAGUCUUGCGACAUUGGACUUUGGACUUACACACACACUCGUCUAAUAGAUUG
rnacentral:rRNA from 1 species